GACGAACGCUGGCGGCGUGCUUAACACAUGCAAGUCGAACGGAAAGGCCCUGCUUUUGUGGGGUGCUCGAGUGGCGAACGGGUGAGUAACACGUGAGUAACCUGCCCUUGACUUUGGGAUAACUUCAGGAAACUGGGGCUAAUACCGGAUAGGAGCUCCUGCUGCAUGGUGGGGGUUGGAAAGUUUCGGCGGUUGGGGAUGGACUCGCGGCUUAUCAGCUUGUUGGUGGGGUAGUGGCUUACCAAGGCUUUGACGGGUAGCCGGCCUGAGAGGGUGACCGGCCAAAUUGGGAGUGGGAUACGGCCCAGACUCCUACGGGGGGCAGAAGUGGGGAAUAUUGCACAAGGGGCGGAAGCCUGAUGCAGAAACGCCGCGGGCGGGAUGACGGCCUUCGGGUUGUAAACCGCUUUCGCCUGUGACGAAGCGGGGGUGACGGUAAUGGGUAAAGAAGCACCGGCUAACUACGU
rnacentral:rRNA from 1 species